GAAUAUUGGACAAUGGGCGAAAGCCUGAUCCAGCCAUGCCGCGUGUGUGAAGAAGGUCUUCGGAUUGUAAAGCACUUUAAGUUGGGAGGAAGGGCAGUAAGCGAAUACCUUGCUGUUUUGAUGUUACCGACAGAAUAAGCACCGGCUAACUCUGUGCCAGCCGCCGCGGUAAUACAGAGGGUGCAAGCGUUAAUCGGAAUUACUGGGCGUAAAGCGCGCGUAGGUGGUUCGUUAAGUUGGAUGUGAAAUCCCCGGGCUCAACCUGGGAACUGCAUCCAAAACUGGCGAGCUAGAGUAGGGCAGAGGGUGGUGGAAUUUCCUGUGUAGCGGUGAAAUGCGUAGAGAUGUGGAGGAACACCAGUGGCGAAGGCGACUCUUUGGUCUGUAACUGACGCUGAGCCGCGAAAGCGUGGGGAGCAAACAG
rnacentral:rRNA from 1 species